rnacentral:rRNA from 1 species
CCUGAAAAAUAGGCAUAGGGGGUCCUGCCUGCCCAGUGACUGAAAAGUUAAACGGCCGCGGUAUCUUGACCGUGCGAAGGUAGCAUAAUCAUUUGUCUCCUAAAUAGAGACUGGUAUGAAUGGCAAGACGGAGCUUCACUGUCUCCUCCUCUUUGAUCUGAACUUCACAUUCCCGUGAAGAGGCGAGAAUUAGUUCGUAAGACGAGAAGACCCUGUCGAGCUGUAGCUAAAUUUUAAUUGUUGUUUACUAUUAGCCCUAACUAAUUAUAAUAAGAGUAGCAGGCCUAAAGCAUGACAAAUUAAAACAAGCUUUGAUUGGGGCAAUCCCGGAGAAAGAAAAUCCUCCGCUACUAUAUGGUUAUAUUAACCUAAAAUAAAAGAAUUAUUUUUCUUAAAUCAUAAAAAUGAAGAUAUGAUCCACUUACAGUGAUCAAAAGAACAAG